rnacentral:rRNA from 1 species
AGUGAACGCUGGCGGUAGGCCUAACACAUGCAAGUCGAACGGCAGCACAGUAAGAGCUUGCUCUUACGGGUGGCGAGUGGCGGACGGGUGAGGAAUACAUCGGAAUCUACUUUUUCGUGGGGGAUAACGUAGGGAAACUUACGCUAAUACCGCAUACGACCUACGGUUGAAAGCAGGGGAUCUUCGCACCUUGCGCGAUUGAAUGAGCCGAUGUCGGAUUAGCUAGUUGGCGGGGUAAAGGCCCACCAAGUCGACGAUCCGUAGCUGGUCUGAGAGGAUGAUCAGCCACACUGGAACGGAGACACGGUCCAGACUCCUACGGGAGGCAGCAGUGGGGAAUAUUGGACAAUGGGCGCAAGCCUGAUCCAGCCAUACCGCGUGGGUGAAGAAGGCCUUCGGGUUGUAAAGCCCUUUUGUUGGGAAAGAAAAGCAGCAGGUUAAUACCCCGCUGUUCUGACGGUACCCAAAGAAUAAGCACCGGCUAACUUCGUG